rnacentral:rRNA from 1 species
UAGCGGCGAGUGAAGCGGCAAUAGCUCAAAUUUGAAAUCUGGCGUCUUCGGCGUCCGAGUUGUAAUUUGAAGAAGGUAUCUUUGAGGCUGGCUCUUGUCUAUGUUCCUUGGAACAGGACGUCACAGAGGGUGAGAAUCCCGUGCGAUGAGAUGCCAGUUUCGUGUAAAGUUCCUUCGACGAGUCGAGUUGUUUGGGAAUGCAGCUCUAAGUGGGUGGUAAAUUCCAUCUAAAGCUAAAUAUUGGCGAGAGACCGAUAGCGAACAAGUACUGUGAAGGAAAGAUGAAAAGAACUUUGAAAAGAGAGUGAAAAAGUACGUGAAAUUGUUGAAAGGGAAGGGCUUGAGGUCAGACUUGGUUUACCAGGCCAGCAUCAGUUUGGGUGGCAGGAUAAUAGCUAAGGAAAGUGGCACGAUUUCGGUUGUGUGUUAGCCUUGGUUGAUACUGCCUGCCUAGACUGAGGA